rnacentral:tRNA from 1 species
GUUUUCCUGUGGCCUAGUUGGUAGAGCAUUGAGCUAACCAUGCAAAGGUCUUGGGUUCACAUCCCAGGGAAAGCA